rnacentral:rRNA from 1 species
AUGAAUUAUUAAGUAUUUUUUGUUUUUUUUUUAAAAAUAUUUUAAUCAAAGUAGUCAAAUAGUUGUUUGUUGAAGUAUCAAAUUUUGAAUAAAUUUUUGUUUAUGAUAGUUUAUAGUAAUGUGAGUGAAAUUAGUUUAAAUAAUAAGAAGUAUUAAUACUAUUUUACCUUUUGCAUCAGGGUUGAUUAAAAAAAACUAACUAAUUGUUGUUUCUCCCGAAUGUAAUAGAGCUAAACUUUAAUGAUUGUUAUAGUCGCAUAUAUAUAGAAAAUUAGGGUUUAGAAGUUAUAUGUUAUUCGAUUUUACUGAUAUCUGGUUUUUUAUGAAUUGAAUUUAAUUCAGAUGUUUAUGAUUAAAUUUUUAAAAUAAUUUUUAUUUUAAAAAUUUCUAAAUAUUAAUAUUUUGUGGGUAACCUACAUAAUAAGUUAUAUAAUUUAGUUUUUUAAGUUUUUAAAUUGUAGGCUUUAAAAUUAGCUACUUAUUGAAAGUGUUUAAUAGUUUAUUGAUUGAUUUUAAAAAUUUGAUAUUUAAAUAUAUGGGAUUAAUAAAAAUAUUUUUAUAAUGUAUUUAAAAAUUUUAUAAUGAUUAAAUGAGUAGUAAGUGUUAAAAUUAUGUUUUAAUUUUAUGUUUAUAUAUAAUUAAGGAACUCGGCAAAUUUUAUGUCCAACUGUUUAACAAAAACAUUGCUUAUUGAUUAUGAUUUUAAGUAAAUCUGCCCAAUGAUGAGAAUUUAAUGGCUGCAGUAUAACUGACUGUACAAAGGUAGCAUAAUAAAUUGUUUUUUAAUAGGAAACUGGAAUGAAAGAAUUAAUGAGAUAUAUACUGUCUCGGUUAUAUUAAAUGAAAUUAGAUUUUAAGUUAAAAUUCUUAAAUUUGAUUAUGGGACGAUAAGACCCUGUAGAAUUUUAUAUUGAUUUAAAAAUUAUAAUUUUAUUUAUUUUACUGUAGUUUUUGGGUUAAUAUUUUGCUGGGAGGGCAAUUAAAUUUAAUCAACUUUAUAAAGUUAAGUCUAUAAUUUUAGUGUGUUUGAGUUUAUUAAUAUUAUUAAAUUUAGAUUAAAUUACCUCAGGGAUAACAGCGUAAUAUCUUUGAAUGAGUCCAUAUUAGAAAAGAUGUUUGCGACCUCGAUGUUGAAUUAGGAUACAUUUUAAAUGCAGAAGUUUAAUGAUUAAGUCUGUUCGACUUUUAAAAUCCUACAUGAUUUGAGUUCAGAUCGUCGUAAGACAGAUCGGUUUCUAUCUAUAAUAAAUUUAAAAUUUUUUGUACGAAAGGACCGAAAUUUUUGAAUAAUUCAUAAGUUAAAUAUAAUAAAUAUAUGAAUUAUAUAAGCAAAUUUAGUGCAUUAAACUUAGAAUUUAAA